AAAGCCCCGCUCCGCCCCCCCGCCCCGCGUUGCCUGGAGACGGCGCCCAACCUUCCUCUGCAGCGCCCCUACCGACCCGCGCUCCGCAGCUCCUGAGGGCUUUCGAGCCCAGAUGGUCAUCUGAGACGAGAGGUGGCGGCGAAGGAGUCUCGCCUGUCAGGCUCCCGGAGCAGGGGCUUCAUGAGGUGGCCAUGGAAACGGCCUGGCAGACUCCCAUCUCUCCUGGUGCCGUCUCCGGAGCGGAAAGUCGAGCACCCCGCUGGCGACCAAGGCCGCACUGAGAGCCCUGGUUUGGUCAACAGUUGGGCUCCAAGGAGCCCUGGUAUUCCUUGAACAUGCAUACCUUUCCCAGCGUGAGGGACAUGGACCGUGCCGUGCGAGGGACCCCAUCUUCUGCAGCAAGAGGGAGCAGAGAAGAGAACACAGGGAUUCCUGUUGCUAAAAGGUCUGUUUUCUCCUGCUAGCCACCCUCAUCAGCCAGAGUCCAAACCCUGACAGUGCCCAUGGAGAGAUCUGGUCCAAGGCACCAACCUCUUCCUGCUGGACUGAGAAAGAGCCUCCUACUGUGUCUCUCUUUACCUCAGCUUUUGCACACCUCCAAUAUAUUGUCCACUGAAGUCAGAAUAAUCUAAAAAUAAAGCCUGAUUACAUCAUGUGGUAUAAACUUA